GCUAGUUGUAUUAACUAAUAGUUAAUACAAGAUCGACUAUGUCGACUAAAGUUCUAGGUAGAAUAAUGAUGAUGACAAUUUUCUACCUAUAUGUCUUGACCAAAUCUCGUGCCAGCAGUCGCGGUAAUACGUGAAAGACUAGUGUUAUUCAUCUUUAAUAGGUUUAAAGGGUACCUAGACGGUUUAUCUAGCCCAAAACAGGGUACGGAUUUUCUAGAGUUUUAUGUGAGGAGGGGAGUACUCAUAGAGUAGAGAUGAAAUUUUGUGAUACUAUGAGGAAACUGGUGGCGGCGAAAGCAACCUUCUAUGUAUAAACUGACGUUGAGGGACGAAGGCUUGGGUAGCAAAUAGGAUUAGAUACCCUAGUAGUCCAAGCAGACAAUUCUGAAUGUCAUAGAUUAGAUUUUUUUUGGUCUAUAAAUGAAAGUGUAAGCAUUCCACCUUAGGAGUAAUGUGGCAACACAGGAACUGAAAUCAUUAGACCGUUUCUGAAACCAGUAGUGAAGUAUGUUAUUUAAUUUGUUAGUCCUCAAAAAACCUUACCACAACUUGAAUGUUAUUUAAUUAAUACAAGCGUUGCACGGCUGUCUUCAGUUAAUGUCGUGAGAUUUUGGUUAACUCCCUCAAUUAACGUAAACCCUUACUUUA
rnacentral:rRNA from 1 species